rnacentral:rRNA from 1 species
AUUGAACGCUGGCGGCAGGCCUAACACAUGCAAGUCGAGCGGAUGACGGGAGCUUGCUCCUGGAUUCAGCGGCUGACUUGUGAGUAAUUCCUAGGAAUCUGCCUGGUAGUGGGGGAUAACGUCCGGUACCGGGCGCUAAUACCGCAUACGUCCUGAGGGUACCAGAUGGGCGUCUACGAACCCAUCGCUCUCAGUUGAGCAAAGGUCGGAUUUACUAGUUGGUGGGGUAGAGGCCUCUCAAGGCUACGAUCCGUAACUGGUCUGAGAGGAAGAUCAGUCAGACUGGAACUGAGACACGGUCCAGACUCCUACGGGAGGCAGCAGUGGGGAAUAUUGGACAAUGGGCGAAAGCCUGAUCCAGCCAAGCCGCGGGUAUGAAGAAGGACUUCGGAUUGUAAAGCACUUAAGGUUGGGAGGAAGGGCAGUAAGUUAAGACCUGGCUGUUUUGACGUUACCAACAGAAUAAGCACCGGCUAACUUCGUG